rnacentral:lncRNA from 1 species
UUUCUUAAAAUAACAAAGGGAGAAAUGGGGGGAAGGUGCUCUGCUAGGGUUUUCCUUAACCCAGCCUUGCGCCGCCGCUUGGCCUACGCCUCCACGCCCCGAUUUCGCCGGAGAAAACACCGGCCUGACGACUCCGGCGACCAGGUAAGUUCCUUUCCCCUUUCUUUAUAUUUUAAAUGAAAGAUAAAUAAAUAAAAAAACAAAAUAAAAGAAUAGACGAAAUAAAAAAAACUCGUUUACCUUCGAAAAAAAACUGUGUAAUCUCAAUAUUUUUCUCUCUAUUUUUCUAUAUGUCUUUUACACUGAAAGAACCCCCCCCACUACAGUGCCUGAGAUUGGCCUUUUUAUAGUCGAAAAUGGAAAAGAAAAAGAAAUAAAUAAAAUAAAAUCCCACCAAAUCUAUUCUGUUAUUUGUUGGCAUUAUAUUGCCCGAUUUUUGCUAUCCUGUUUGGCUUCCUUUUCCUUGUUUGUUGUUUGUUGUUGCAGGUACAAACGUGACGUAUGGAACGGCACACGCUGGGGAGGGUCGUGCUGCGACAUUUACGGCGGUAGGUGUGCAGACGGAGGCGCGCAAAGAGGUAGCAGUUGCGGCGCCAAACUGCUGGUGGCUGCCUUAGGGUUUCUGCUAAUGUUUUCUUUUUGGGCUGAGUUUUGGGUUAAUGUUUCGGCUAGGUUAAUUUGGGUUUUGGGCUAUUAAUUGGGCCUGUUUAUUGGUUUGGGCCCGGGCAUAUUUGGGCUUGUACAAUUGAAAUAUUAAAUUUUGUUUAACAAGUUAAUCUAAUUUUUAGCACA